GCAACUCGACUACAUGAAGCUGGAAUCGCUAGUAAUCGCGAAUCAGAAUGUCGCGGUGAAUACGUUCCCGGGUCUUGUACACACCGCCCGUCACACCAUGGGAGUCAGUAACGCCCGAAGUCAGUGACCCAACCGGAACCGGAGGGAGCUGCCGAAGGUGGGACCGAUAACUGGGGUGAAGUCGUAACAAGGUAAC
rnacentral:rRNA from 1 species